CACAUCCAGCCGACACACUGGCUCUAAUCCCUGCUCCUUUGACGCACUCAUUUUCUGGUUUUUCACAAAGGCCGACUGUGCUCCCAGCAGCUGCAGCUGGUCAGGGCCCCAGGGAGGCUGUGGGAAGGGUCGCGGGGACGCUGGCAGCUGCGGGAAAAGACUCUGAGCACCUGUCCCUCUCCUCUGGGUGCUCGCCCCUCCCCCGGCCUAUGCAUUUUCCUGCCGAGGUGCAGUGGUCGGUGAGGGGAAGGGAGGGCAUGGGGGAGCUCGCGCUGCGGCCCAGUGGACUAGGGAGGCGGGUUGCAUCCCCUGCCGGGGAUCUGACAUCGGAUCGGAUCCUGACCCCAGGAACUUCCAUGUGCCAUGGGUGCAGCCAUAAAGCAACAACAGCAGCAGCAGCAGCAGCAGCAGCAACAAGAACAAGAGCAUCUGCUUUCAGACAGUCACACCCAAGGCCCUCUGUGAGACAACUGGGGCGCAGAGGGCUGGACUCUCGUCCAAGAUCUGAUGACUAGUAAGUGCAGGAGACUCCCCUCCAAGAACCUGGUCCUCUUGGAAGAAGGUAGGAGGAAGUUCACCCUGGCUGUCCUGGUCUUUGUGCAGAAACAAGACAUGGCUCUUUGUCACCAGUGCUUGCUGAGCCUCAGUCCCUUCAUCUCUCCUCCCACUGCCAGGGUAAGUCAGUGGGGCCCUUUGCUCCUGAGUGGAGGGGACCCUUCUGGGAGGGCCUGGGUGGCCAAGGUGCAGACGCACGGAGAUCAGUCCCAAGGAGAGAGAGCAGAGAGGGAGAUGCUCAGAGAUGCUCCUGGGCCCCUGAGAACUGCUCCUGGUAGGCAGCCCGCUGUCCUUUGCAGGGUCUGGCCCCUGCCCUGCAGUCCCUCCCUCCUCUCCUUCCCCUCCCCUCCCCCUCCAGCUCUCCCUGCCUCUGCGGGGGGGGGGGCAACUUUCCCUCCCCCAAGCAGGUGCCCACCCACAUGCAGCCUCAGGGCACUCCGAGGCUCCCCCUACCACCCACUUAGAAGCAGCUGAACAAAGAUCAGCUCAGCUCAGAGGGCUUCCCAGCCAGAUCUUCAGAUAGCAAACAUUUCACCACUUCCCACACCCGCCCCCACCCCUGCCCCCAUUCCUGUGCCAGCACCCGCCCGUCUUCCCCUCUGGCUUUUCCCUCCCUCCCAGCCUCUCUGGUUUCACUUAUCCAUCCAUUCAUUCCUCACGUGUUUAUCAAGCAUCAUAUGCCGGGCACCGUGCUGGGUGCUGGGCACUAAACAGAGGGCGGUGACCCCAGCAGGGCCGCCCUUCUGCAGCUCACCUUAGCUUAAGGGGUGGUCAGCAGUUCAUCCCACAGCUCCGUGAACAAAGGCGGGACCGAGACAAGGGGUCGAAGAAGAGGUGUGUGGUCCUCUGAGGACGUCCCCAGAGGCGGGGGGCCGGGGCCUCGGUGCAGAGCCUUGAAGGAGGGGUGUUGCCCACAGCACUGGAGUGUUUGUUGAGUGACCGCGUGAGUGAGAGGAAGGGUGCAUGUGCAAGUGUGAGAAUGUGUGUCUGUGCCAGCAGGUGUGCAAGUGGUAGGAGCCCAUGAGUACAAGUGUGUGUGUGUGAGCGAGUGUAGGGCUGUAUUGCAAGUGUGAGAAGACGCAGGUGCGAGAGGGCAUGUGCAUUCUGGGGCGCACGUGGGCGUGUGUCUGUGGGUGUCUGAGUGUGUGGGUGCCUGUGGAUGUGCAUGUAUGGAUGUGCAUGUGUGGGUGUGCAUGUGUGGGUGUGUGGGUGUGCGGGGGCGGGUGAAUGCGUGUGUGUGAGCUGCAUCUGGCUGGGGCUGGGGCAAGUCUGGAGGGUGGUCAGGAGGCCGUGCUGGAGGGAGCUGGGCUUGGUUUUGGGGUGAUGAGGGGAGUCUGGAGGGAUCAUUCCACUGGGGACUGACCAGAGCCCCUUCACUGCCUGCAGGGACCAGUGAAGUGUAGACAGAAGGGACCUGCUCUUUGCUUUUCUUUCUUUCUUUCUUUUUACAGCUGCACCUGAAGCAUAUGGAGGU
ensembl:lncRNA